UGCACACAAACUAUACUCAUCCCCUCUUCAAGCACGACAGCCCCAGAAUUCCAUUCUGUCACAGCCGGGGGCUGAGUUCAGGUUUCUGGAUGAUGUACUGAUGUGGAAGUCUGUGUGUCAGGGCUGGUGGUGACACCUGUCCAUGAACUAAGGAACCUUUUACCUCCCUCCCCUUGGAUCCACCCUCCUAAACAUACCUGUACAAAGUGUGUCCUUAAAAGCUAGCCCUGACUCAUCUCAGCUUAUUCUAAUCCACCUACAAGACUGCACCUUGUUUACACAUAAAACCAGCUAACAUGUACUGUGAUGACUUAGUGGGAGUCUAACCCUGAUCCAAGACCACAGGUCUCCACAACAAUUCUGCAAGACACCCACUAUUGUCAUCCCACUUUUAUGGAAGAAGAAACAGAAUGUGUAAGCAGCCUAGAUACUGAAAGAGAAGAAGGUCAACCCGUGGCCAAUGGAAUUGUCUGUUGAUUACAAUGGGCAUCACGGAAAAGAGUUCUAUAUCA